UAGCAGCUUUAUUCAUAAUUUCCAAAACCUGGCAGCAACCAAGAAGUCAUUCAAUAGGGGAAUAGAUAAACAAACCAUGGAACAUCCAGACAAUGGAAUAUUAUUCAGCAAUGAAAAGAAAUGAAAAAAAAAUUAAAUGAG